UACGAAGGGUGCAAACGUUGCUCGGAAUCAUUGGGCGUAAAGCGCACGUAGGCGGCUUCGCAAGUCGGAUGUGAAAUCCCUCGGCUCAACCGAGGACGUGCAUACGAAACUGCGGAGCUUGAGUGCUGAAGAGGAUCGCGGAAUUCCCGGUGUAGAGGUGAAAUUCGUGGAUAUCGGGAGGAACACCAGUGGCGAAGGCGGCGAUCUGGGCAGACACUGACGCUGAGGUGCGAAAGCGUGGGGAGCAAACAGG
rnacentral:rRNA from 1 species